AAUUCACCGCGGUCAACGCUGGCUGCCAUGAGUAGUUGUACAUUAUACUGUGAUCAAAAGGUGCGGAAGGAGAGAAGAAAGUAGCCUCUGCAUUGGCAGCCCGUACUGUAUCGUUGCUUUCGCGUUAAAAGUGACUCGGUGAUGGAGAACAGAAACGAGAAAGGGUAAAAAGCAAAAGAAAGAAAAAGCGAACGAAAGAAAGAACGAAAUGCCGAGGACGCGACUUCUCAACGAUGCUUCCGACUGAAGGAAUCCAGGCAUAAUGGAAUGUCAAGUUGCAUGCAAAGAGAAAGAAAUAAAAGUAAACCAUCGACGCGACGAGCAAGAGAAGAGACAUUGUACUUCUCGUUUUAUUUCCUGUCGUCCUGUCGUUACUUUCAUCUGGUUCUCCGUGUUCCAUUUGGGAAACGUUCCGUAGAAAAGUGAAAACAACGACCGGAUGGAAAUAUAGCGAAGAAAGGGAGAGAGAGAUACAUUGGCUCCUUGUUAUUUAGCAAAAGAGAGGAGUCGUUUCGGAAUGUAAAGGAGUAUGCAGCGUGCAUACGCGCGACUGUGAACGGACGAUCGUUCGUGUGUUUAUCAGCGACGACAGAGAAGAAUAAGUAUGAGAUCGGAGUUUAUCGCGCGGUUCGAGGGAAACGACCUGGAAUACCGAUUGCGAUAAUAUUUUACUGCACAACCUCUCUUGCUUUUGUAUAUUAUUAAACUGGAACGACGAAGAGAGAUAAAUGAUAAACGAAAUAUGAAUUUCAAAUUACGUGAAAAAUACUAGUCGAAUAAAAUUUGGAGCUCCAAUAAUAGUUAAACCUGGGAAAGCUCUCUAACUAUAAGAACAAUUCACAGUUGUUCCUAACCAGUAGCUUCAGCCUCCUUGGAUUUUCUGUAUUCAUUGUCUUCAACGUGGGACAACAACAGAGAUAAAUAAUAAAGGAAAUAUGAAUUUUAAAUUACAUCAAAAAUGUGUUCAAGUGAAAUAAAGCUUGAAGCUCUAAAACCCUUUAAUCCUUUGCACUCACUGGAAACGACAAUGCACACUGGGAUAUAAAAUAAAUCUAGUGCAAAGGGUUAAAUACAACUGUGUAACAUAAAACUGUUAAAACAGGAGAAGCUGUCUAACUACGUGGACUACUGUCGUUUGUCCCUGGCUAGUAGCUUCCGUUCCAGCAACUUUCUACUAAAUUUGAUUUGUUAAUUUAACGAGAGUCCAGACUGACUGACUGACUACUGAAACGCCGAGCGUUGACUGUUCCACGAGCAAACAGUGUUUAACUGGGAAAAGCAAUUACUCGAGAGGAUCGUGGACCCAGUUCUGUCCAAACCGAAUCUCAAAACCGUUUGGCUCAACCAGAUUUGCAUCGCGGCACUAUUAUGCUCCCGUAAUUGCUAAUGCGAUUAAACUCGCGCAAUAUCAUGAAUAUUCCAUCGGGCUAUUCAACGCCGGUACGUCUAAACCGAGAAAAGUGAACGCCGCCCGAGUGUUUCCCACCGUUGAAAGACUGUUUACCGAUUACUUAAACAGGAAAUCGGCGGGCCGAGGGAGCUGCCACGGCGAACAUUUCUAAUUAACUGUUUUGAUGGACAUCUAAUUGGCAGCCGGCGUUGCUGCACGUAAAUAGAAAAUGACAGCGCAGGCCUAACCCAUAAUCGGCCAAUAAGGCCGUUCAGUGGUUCGAGCUGCUGGAAUUUUAAAAUGUCGAACACACCUUUCCGGAUGUCGAUAAGUAUUAUUCUUAGCCGGCGGUCACAAUGAACAAUACCUAAUCCUGAGAACCUCUUAUAUUUCAGUACCAGUUCUUUCGCCAAAUAGCGUUAUUCAUAAAACUAGCACGAUAUUACAACGGAGCACCGAUGCCGUAUCGCAAAACAAUUUAUUACGGCUUCGUAUAGCUAUACUCAAAACAAUUCUCGCUUGCCAUGCGCCAUUGCAAAAAUUAAA